rnacentral:piRNA from 1 species
GGUUAGUCUGGAAAUGGAGAAAC